rnacentral:tRNA from 1 species
GGCCAGGUAGCUCAGACGGUAGAGCGAGGGACUGAAAAUCCCUGCGUCGGCGGUUCGAUUCCGUCCCUGGCCA